rnacentral:lncRNA from 10 species
GGUAGAGGUGGAGGUGGAGAAAGGACGUUUCAAGGGUGAAGCUUCUUCAGUAAACACUGGGAAAGACAUAGAAGAACUAUUAAGAAGAUAGAAUUGUUUUGCUGCGCAGUACAGCAACAGUGGAUGUUCAAGAUUAAGAUUAGAGUCAAGUUGUGUGAUUAAGACAGGAGCUGUGACUGAUGAGAAUUAAAGGCCAUGGAUGAAGAUGGGCUUGAAUUACAACAAGAGCCAAACUCAUUUUUUGAUGCAACAGGUAUAACUACUUGAAUUGUUCCACUUCCCAUCUACCAGAUUUGGAGUUGGUUGUCAUCAAUGAAUUGCUAGAACUCUCACAUUGAUCAUUCACAGGUUAUCUUGUUAUCCUGUC